GGGCCCAUAGAUCAGCCCGGAAGAUCGCCUGCUUUGCAAGCAGGAGGCCGCGGGUUCAAAUCCCGCUGGGUCCA
rnacentral:tRNA from 2 species